rnacentral:rRNA from 1 species
AUUGAACGCUGGCGGCAUGCUUUACACAUGCAAGUCGAACGGUAACAGGGAGCUUGCUCCGCUGACGAGUGGCGAACGGGUGAGUAAUAUAUCGGAACGUACCCAGAAGUGGGGGAUAACGUAGCGAAAGUUACGCUAAUACCGCAUACGAUCCACGAAUGAAAGUAGGGGACCUUCGGGCCUUAUGCUUUUGGAGCGGCCGAUAUCUGAUUAGCUAGUUGGUGAGGUAAAGGCUCACCAAGGCGACGAUCAGUAGCUGGUCUGAGAGGACGACCAGCCACACUGGAACUGAGACACGGUCCAGACUCCUACGGGAGGCAGCAGUGGGGAAUUUUGGACAAUGGGCGCAAGCCUGAUCCAGCAAUGCCGCGUGAGUGAAGAAGGCCUUCGGGUUGUAAAGCUCUUUUGUCAGGGAAGAAACGGCUGUGGCUAAUAUCCACGGUUAAUGACGGUACCUGAAGAAUAAGCACCGGCUAACUACGUGCCAGCCGCCGCCGUAAAAC